GGGACCUGGUCUUUUCUCCUCUUUCCUUCUUCUCUGCCACGAGGUGAGUGGCUUUGCUCUACCACCUGCGCCCCACCAUGAUAUGCCACCACAGCCCCCAGAGCCAAGGGAUUGCCUGGUCAUGGAUAGAACCUCCAAAAUGGUGAGACAAAAUCUAGCUUUUCUUUUUACACAUCAGUUCUCUUAGGUACUUUGUUAUAGUAACAGAAGGCUGACAGACACAGCUUAUAGAGGUCCUUCCUGAGUCCCCAGCCCCCAAGACUCCUGCUUUCUAUGACCUGCCCACCUACCAGCAUUCCCUCUCCUGGAGAAUGUCGCCACUGCUCAAAAAUCUUUGCCGGCUCCCACCCACUCUGUGUCAAAUCAAUCGCCAAGACCUUUAAUUCCAUCAGCUUAAUAUUUGACUCCCUCCACUGUUCCUUGUCCCCACUGUGGCCACCUGUCUACCAUGAUUGCCUGCUCAUUAGUCUCUUCAUGCCUCCUCCUCAUUCCAGCCUGUCCAUUCUUCCACUUACUAAAACUGGACUGGGUCACUCCUGCUGAAAACCCUUCCAAGGCUCCCAAUGGCCUCUGGUUGAACAAAGCCCAAAUACUUUGUCACAGGCUCUUGCCUGGCUCUCUGAACUCAUCUGUUGUUCUGCCUCAUGCACCACUCACCAGACAGAAUGAAGUUCAGUCCCCUGACUUGGUGACACUGUAGGAACUUUGGUGAUGGGACCAGGGGGGCUAAAAGAAUUUUACUGGAAUGGGGAGAGAGAGGGAGAGGAAAGAGAGGGAGGCAGGGAGAGAGGCUCAGAGCCCCUCCGUACAGAACUGUCCGCCUGCAUGCAAGGGCCCUUUCCUAUGGGAUAUUCUCAGCCUGAGGAGCACCGGUCAGGCUCAGAGGUGGGUGGUUUCCAUUAAAGUCUGCAAACUCACAGCUCUCUCUCUCCAGACAGUCCUGAUGUGGUGAGUAAAGCGUGAUGACCCUUAAGAGGCAUGGCAUUUCUUACCAGCUAGGUGACGCUGGGUGGGUCACUUACUGUUAUGAGGCUGUGAGCACUUUCAGUUUCCUCUUCUAUGAGAAGGGAAUAAUAGCUGACCUACUGUGUGGAUGGCCUUCUGUUUGUGGGGAUCCCCACGGUGUGUGCCUCCAUGGUGGGGGAGGGGAGCACUGUCUCCUGCCGGGAAGUUGAAGAAGGCAGGUGCUGUGAGGGUCCCUGGCCAGGAGGGUGAGCCGCCUGGGCCAGGGCCUUUGCAUCUGAAAGGUAGAGCAGAGAGACGGGCACGUGGAGAAUCAUCUCAGUAGACGCAAUGGAGGCAACGGUGACAAUGACAGUGGUGGAGGUUACUCUGUCAUCCAGAUCAGACUCUCCCUGUAGCAUGGACUUGGUUCCUUUCUUCCAUUUUUCUGGUCCAUUCUGGAAGCUGCUGGAUUUCUUCCCAGUAGAUUGUCUUUAUGUUCUCAAGUUGGCCAGAGUCAAUUUCUGUGGGCAGAACCAAGGGUCUCGGCCCAAAUACUCACCUACUUCCUAGGGCGGUGGGUUUAGAGCACGACACGUAGAUGGGACUUCAGAGAAGUUGGAGCGCAGCUCAGUGGGGGCGGGAAGUGAAGCCCUGGGUCCAGACGCUGUGUGCAAUGCACACCUGUUUAAAAUAAAGAGGAAACGAUAAUGGUCAAAGUGACCAAGUCAAACAGUCAUGUUGAGUAUCAGGUAUCCCAUGGUGAAGCUGAGAUAUUGUGAAUAUGCUUUGUAAGGGACAAGGAAAAUGUAAGACACCCUCCUUAUCUUACCAAUACAGAGCCCUCCCACUCCGCCUCCUCCUUGUCUUAAAUUUAGCUUAAAAACAUGACUGUUUCAACAAAACUGGGGUAAGGCACAUGUCCAUUUCGAGACUGCUGGCAUCUAGGACCAGGUAUUUAUUUCCUGCUCUCAGCUUUCUGGGCCCAGUGUCUGCAGCCUCUUGUGUCAUCUUUGGUGGUCUGGAGGGACAGGGAGUCACUCCUCUGGCUGCCAUCCAGGCGUCCUCCAGGGAUGGAAACCUUCAAAGCUGAAGGGUGGGUUUCCCCCUGAGGCAGCAGCUCCACGGGGACCGGCUCUCCAGCCCUGAUGGCCCUGCUGGGAUGUCCACCGCUCACAUCUGCUUGGUUAGAUCCUCAGUGCUCAGGACACAGGCGCCAGGGCCAGCGUGAGGCCAGGCACCGGCCAGUUUUUCACAUUAACGGGUCUGGGCUGGAUGUGAUGGAUGUGUUUUUCUCUCCCAUUGCCCGGGCACUCUUUCUUGCACUUCUGAAAAUAUUCAGGCCCAAGAGCCUGAAAUGUGCCCCUGAGGAUAGAAAGGACGUGCUAUCGAACCCACCCUGACACCCGUUCCCCCUUCACUACCCUGUCUGGGAAGAAGGCACUCUGCAGAUGCAGUGUUGAAUUCCAGUUUAUGGUUAACGAUUUUGAAAGAACAAGUUGUCAGGGCUGACUGAUGUGGAAGCAGAGCCAUUAACCCCCCGAAGAACUAAGUGCCAAAACCAGUGGACCACGCUGAGAAUGUUGCUGUUGAGGGUCCAUGAGGUGUCUGCAUCUGCAGGGAACAAUGUCUGUGUCCAAACUCUAGCGUGCCACUGCGGUGAUGUGUGUUCAGAGACGCAUGCUCCCUUCCCGUGUGGGAUUUCAGAGGACAGCCUGCGGAGAGGUGUUCCUCUUUGUAGGGGGGCAGUAGAUGGAGUGGGGAUGUGAGGAGAAAGAGGCCCGAGCUGGGGCACGGAAAGUGGAGCAUGCCCACCCAGCGUUAGGCCUCGGUUUCCUCAUCUGUAAAAUGAGGGAUAAAGACCCCGUGGCUCCCAAGUUGCGUUCUAACUCUGGCUUUUCGAGGGUGGGUCUCUGUUUCCCACAAGCCUCUGUGAAGCCAGGCUGUCAGGCUGGGGCUCUGGGGUUUGGGCCAUAGCUGCUCUUUCAUCAGCCAUUUCAACAGCAUUUUCAAAGCUGCAGUCCUCAACAGGCCACUGGGACAAAUGUCCUGCUGCCUCGGGGGAUCUGCCCUGCUGGAACCCUGAGAGAGUCUGAGUCAUAAACAAGGGAAGCUGGUGGAGCGGCCCCCUGCGUGCUAUCUGGAAGUUAACUGGCCACCUGCUGCUAUCCCAGCCCCUCUGAUUAGGGCACCUGGGCACAGUUAGCCCGUCUAUGAAUCCCAGAUGUUGAACCAUCGAAGUUCAAGGCAGCACAGGAAGGCAAUUUGUUUGGGAGAAAAAAAAAAGUCAAACAGACAAGAACAAAAAAACCCAGACCAGAACAGAAACAAAUACCUUAGAAACCAUUAAAAAAUAUUUCAUUUCAACCAAGUCAGUUUAUUUGAUCACACACAGAAAACCAUUGAAUUUAAAGUAUGAACGUUCAUACAUUUUCUUCCAAGUAGAAAAAUAAACAAUACAACACCUCUUGUUAGUGCCAGACUGGUUAUGGCUGUGAAGCGGAAGGAAGCCACGCCCACAUUUGCCUGAUAGUGAGUAGUUCAACUUUAGAAUCCAUCCCCUCAAACUGCACUUGGAGAGCGUCAUCCUUAUCACCGUUGUGCACGUUGAGAAGGUGCUAAGGAGAAGGCAUUAUUUUUGCCACCCAUCCAGCACCUAUUCCAGUGAACCAUGCACCUGUUGAGGCUUGUUCUCCCAAUCACCCACCUUUACCAAUAUUUCUAGCCCACCGUUUGCUGUCCCAGACUAGGGGUAAUGAACCAGGGUGUCGCCCUUUGCUUCUGCCAGUGUCCCCUGCCCCUUUCACCUUGGCCAGAGAGUCCUUCCUAGCAGGGAGCAGAAAUCUGACUCCCCAUAAUGCUCUAGAGUCCACAGAAGACAAAUCUCUGAAAUGACACCUCUGGGUGUUCAGUCGUCCCUGACAUCACUCUCUCCCUACCUUCUCUCAUCUGCAAACCAACUGGACCUCAAGCUAGAGCUCACGGCAGCCCAUGCAUCCGGGUCCAUGCUCAGCAUCCCCACUGGCAGGACCUCCGCAGCCGCCUUGCCACUGGCCCCUCUGCCUCCUCCUCAGCCUCCAACCUGCAGGGUUACCUGGGUGGUCUUUCGGGCUAAUCUCCUGGAAGAAGCACAGAUUUUGGAAUACGACGGGGGCCUGAGGCUAAUUUUUCUGUGCCAUAAUUGUGGAUCUAGAAAACCAAGAUAUUGAUUCCAGAGUAUUCUUACCAAGGUUAAAUGAGAGAACAUUUUUAAAAAAAUGCCUACUAAGGAGUUACCCAAUAAAUAGUAGGUCCCUUUCCCUUUCCUUGUUCCCCUCCCCCUUUAAAUUUGUCAAGUGACAUAAAGUCACUUAAUGGCCCUGUUUGACAUCAUCUAAACAUUUCCAGUUUGGUGCCAAGAAUUCACUAACCAUAAUACAGUAUUCUCUAGGCAAAGUUUGCCCCCAUGGUAGAACAUUCAUUCAUUCAUUCAUUCAUCCAUCCACCCAUUGAUCCACCACCAUUUCCAGAUCCAUCACCAAGGACCCAGCACUACGCAAGUGGCUAGAAACACAGAAGAAGAAACAUGGAGUGUGUAUCCUAGGGGGGAGACAGUGCAGUUCAGCAGUGUUGGUGAGCAGUGAGCCCAGGGGACCUCGUGGAGCCCUGGGAAGAGAUCCUAUCCAGAGGCAGGGGUGAUGCGGGGAAGGAGCCCUGGGGCUGGGGCUGCUGGACACUCCAGAGAGAUCAGUUAGCUAGAGAGGCUUGAAGGCUUUCCAGACAAGGGGUGUCCAGAUCCUACAGGGCCCUGGGUGCCAUGCUAAGGGCUUUAUGAUUGAUUUUGGAGUCAUCAGAUAGCCUUAAACAGAAAAGCUGGCACAGAGUUUUGUUCUAGAAAACUCUACUUGCCCGCAUUUUAGCGGAUGGCUUGGGGGAAAGAGAAACUAGGCAGUGAGAGCAGAUGGGGGUUACAUCAGUGGUUUGAGUUGAAAAGCCUGAGGUCCUUGUCAAAAGCAGUGACAGUAGGCAUGGAGGGAGGGGGCCAACCUUAGAGAUGGUAGGAAGGUGGAACUUCUAGUCCCUGGUGGCCAUUUCGAUGUGGGGCUUGAGGCAGAAUCAAGACUCGGCAAGACCUCCAGAAGGCAGAGGCUCUGGGUCUGGAUGACAGGUGAUGUCACCAUGAGGUCACCAUGAGGGAGAGCUUGGGACAUCAAGAACAAGAAGUCAGAGGGGGAAGGGCCGAGUUGGGGACUUGGGAAACACUCAUGUUUAAGGGGUGACCAGUGGGAGGGCUCUGGAGAGGGUUCAAACCCCCUAGGGAAUGGCGUCCCGGAAACCAAGGAGAGAUUGAGUUUCGAGAAGGAGAAGUACAAUGUCAAGCUAAGGGAGGAGGACCUUGGCCUGGACCAUUUUCCUGGAGAGCCUGGGUGGGGCUCAGUGGGCAGAUGGAGGUGAGCAAGUGGGGGGUGUGUGUGCAGUCUGCACCUCCGAGGAGGAGGUCUGGGUCUCUCAAGAGAAAGCUAGCACUCAGGGGAGUGGGCUGGGCACAUUCCAGGAAUGUGGGAGAACCAGGAGAAGCUGCUGCCGAGUGAGCACAAGGUUGCUGGCUGGCAGCCCCAAGGAGCCAGAGAAUGCUCCCGGCAGAAUGCGAGGCCAUGAGAGGGGCAGGGAUUUCUACAGAGACAGUGGAGUCUGGCACAGGCCACAGAGUUUGAAGAAGACCGAUGCUGCUCUGGGGAUGAGUGCCAGUUGGCGGAGUCUUGAGAGAUGGUGGUGGCAUCCUUAGGAUGUUAGAGGAGGCCCAGGUUGAAGGGGACUUUGGGCAGGGGACAUGAUGGUGGUGGCAGGGGUAGGGUGGCAACCCAGGAGGGCUGCUCAGCACAAGUCUCACUAUCAGAGGGGGCUCCUGGCCUUCCCCCUGUUUCCCUGUCUGUCUUGGAGAAGGCAUAAGUUGGCCCAGCACUGCAGCCUGCUGAGAAGUUUUGGGACAGUGGUUCUGGUACCCAGUGUCAUGGCUGAUUACAGAGGAAGGGACACCCUUGAGGAACCUACCCAUUUGCCUGUGUAGAGUGGAGUCCUUUGAAACCAAGAUUCGAGAAAUCUGACAGGCAGAGACAAAUAGGGUUGAAAAGCAGAGGGAAUUACAUGCGAGGCCCGCAAUCCCAAGGCCGUUGUGGGCCCUUGAGAUUCCUGGAAGGGAAAACUGGCAGCCUUAGGCAGGCAGCGCUGCUCAGGAGGUAGGAAACUGCUUAGGAGACUGACAUGGCUUGAGAAAGCAACGGAGAAGAAGAGAAAGAGUCCUCAGAGUCUGCCCGUCUUGGCACCUACCUGGCCUUCCCUUCCUGGCUCUCGUCUGUACAGCUGGGUGAUAGGAUCCAGGUUCAGGACAUGACCUGUCCUCUUUUUAUUUUAUUUUUUUGAAGCAAUGCAGCCACUUGGGACUUGACACAUAAAGCAAGAUGGUGGAAGUGUGCAGAUGGAUUAAAAACAGAGCAGAGAUCUUGAAUCAGCAGGUGGAAGGAACCAUCUCACUCCCAGAAGAAAUGGUUAACCAGCAGAGAUGCUGGUGGGCCCUGGAUCCCCAAACCAACUUGAGGGUGUAGGAAAAGCCAGAGGGAGGCCGGUGGGUCCAAGGAACUUAGGGGGAGACUGGGAAAUUGAUUUCUCAGCUGGGAGAAAAGUGCGAAAUGGCAGGUACAAAGGAGGUAGACCAGAUGCCACUGAUGGGCGUGGGUUGAGGGAAGGAGGGGCUUUGCCAUGAGGCUUGUCCUCUCCGUGCUGUUGCCCUGGGUGAUCUGCACAAGGUGGGAAAACUGCAGACUCCCUGACUGUUCGCUCCCCAACCUUGCAGCCCCAAGACCCUAGAGGGUGGGCAGUGGGGCUGGGUAAUCACAGACACCAGAAGGAACAACUCUUCCGGUGCCCGACAGGGAGAUUCUCCCGGCUGGGCUGCAGAGUGCAAAGCCAGCCAGGUGGUCCUGCUGGAUGGGCUCUUUUGGCCGAGGCCAGGCCUUCCUCCUUCAAGUUCAUUGUCAAAGGCACAGCUGGGGCCCCCAACCUCACUCCUUUCCCAAAUGUCUAUCACUUGCCAAAGCAGAAUAAUCAUUAGAGGAAAAACUGUGAGGAGCCUAGCAAACUAAGUUAGGCGGGGCAGCGGGAUGCAUCAAGCAAGCAAGAACUUUAUAUUCUCAUGGAAAUAGGAGGAAAUAGGAUAGGAUGUUGGGAGCCUGAGGCAGAAAUGAGCUGUUAUCAAUACCCAACUGCAAUUCCUGAGCUUAAAAUGUAUAACACUUGACAAAGUGCUCAGCACGCAGGUUGAGUAGCAGAAUGAUUGCACCUGAAGAUCAAAUCAACGAACUUGAAGGUGGAGUCUGGGAAGUCUCAAAACAGGAUCCAGGAGGACAGACGAGGAAAGCCUAGGAGAUAGGGGGACUGAAAGAGGAAUAAAUGUCAAGAUCCAUACCAGAUGUCUCAGGAGAAAAAUAGGCGUCCUUUUCAGAAAAGAGUGGAGGAAAGUAUAUAUAUUUGCAUAUAUGUAUGGAUACAGAUAUAUGUAUACUGAGAUUUUUUCUAAGAACCAAAGAUAAAUAUAAGACUUAAAAUUGAAAGGGAUUACAGAGUGCUGGACAAUAUAGGUAAAAAUAUAAAACAGUAGUAGACAAAUCUGUGGUGACAUUUAAGUGUACAGUACUUCCAGAGAGAAAAGGCAAACAACCCCCCCAAAACAAAACAAUACACACACACAUACACACACACACAAUCAGAAUACAAAACAAGAAUCAAAUUGACAUCCAUCUUCUCAACAGGAACACUGAUUUCAAGAAAACCAAAUAGCAUUUUCAAAGUGUUAAAAGGAACCUAGAAGACAGAGGUCUAACUAUACAUCAGUAGAGGACGCUCCCAUGGUUAUGUGGAUGAAGAGAGACACUAUUCUCUGACCUCAAUGCCAAGAAAUUAGCAGUUACUAAUAAUUAGCAAUUACUAAUAAUGAUGCUUACAAAAAUUCCCACCUCUCUGGUGAUAUCACUAUUUAAAGAGGAAUACUUACAGGAAAAUACCAAAUAGUGAUGAACAAAACUCAAAAGUACCAUAAAGUGACAUUUAGGAGAUGUAGCUAACUGGUACUUAGAAGCAUAGAGCUUCCAAUACUACAUUUAUCAUCCAGUAAAAAAAAAAAGUUUGAAAACAAACAAGCUCAACCUCCAAUUCAGGGUAUUUAGAAAAGACUGACGGAAUUACAAGAUGCAAAUAAGACAGAAUAAAAGACAUAUGUUAAUGCAGAGAGGAGAAAUAACCAAACUGAAAGCAUGUUCUCUGAAAAACAAAUCUUCUGGCAAAAAAAUGACCAUGAAUAGAUAAUAUUCCAAGCAUCAGGAAGAGGAAGUGAAUGCCUAUAUAAUUGAUUAGAAUUACCAUCUAAUUAUCAAUUUUCUAGAAAACAAGAAUUUUAAAAACCUACACACAAUUUGAGUUGGGUGUAUUACAACCCAAGAAACAGAAAAAUUGAACAGAACCAUAACCAUUGAAGGAACUGAAAACUAAAGGCAAAAAAUAGGCUCAGAUUGUUUUUUUUUUUUUUUUUUAAAAAAAAAAAGAGCCUGUAAAACUCAAACUUUAAAGAAAGCAAAUUGUUUUAGAAAAUUAAGAUUAUAGUCUCUUUGGAUUUCCCAAUGAAAUAUUAACUCACUGGAUCCAAGAGUAUUUAGAAAGUUCUAUUGGCCCGAAGAUUUAAUCCAGAAAUAAGAUCAUGAAAAAUCAAGGAUCACUCCAAAACAUAAAAAUACAUCAAAAUAAAUGGUCACACCCUGGGAAUAGAACUUCUUUGAGAAAGCGUAUGCAUGAAGAAUUUACCAUGAACAAUGAUGUUUAAUAGGGAAACAAUUACUUCACAGUCUGGAAUAAUACAAGAUGCCUACAAAAUAUUGUUACUCUUCAAUGUAUUACUGGAGGUCCUGACCGUUAUGAUAAUUCAUGAAAAAGGAAUUGGAAGAACAAAUAUAGAGAGGAAAGGGACAGAAACUCAUCUGCAGACAUGAAAAACUCAACGGAAUCAACAGGCAAAUCAUGAGAACUAACAAUAAAUGUUAGCAAAGUUAUUGGAUACAAAAUAACUUACAAAAAUCAGUACUAUUCUUUAUAACCAAUUAGCAUAUGAACAGGAGAAAAGAGACUAUUUUCAGAAGCAACAUGAUGAAGUACCUAGGAAAAUGUCUUGCAAAGAACCUUCCAGACCUUUUAAAAAAAUAACUCUCUUAAAGGUUAUUGUAAGACUUAGAUAAGUGUUUAAUACUGGAUGCUGAAAAUGUAAAUUCUCCUCAAAUAAAUGCCACGACACUUCAACCAGAGUAAGUGGUAGAAUCUGGGGACUGGCUUAACAAACUUAUUCUAACAUGCGGGUGAAAUAAUAAACAUCCAUCAAUUCCUAAGACAGUUUUGAAAAAGAGGAAAUAGAGGCUUCCCCCUGCUGGGUGCUGCAAAUGUGCUACAAGAGCCUGCAAAUGUGGUGAGUGCAUUCCUGGUGUGGGAUCAAUGAGAUCAAUACAACACCGCGGAUUACAGGAAUCCCUCGUCCCCUGCAUUGGUUCUGUUCUGAGAGAGGUGGCGAGCACAUCAGCAGAGAAUGGAUGGUGUGUGCGUCCACGGGUGCUAGGUGGGAAAUGGGCUUGCUACUGGAGAAAAACAAUCCAGAUCUCUAUCUUCUGUCAUGUUCAAGAAUCAGCUUGGAUUGUACAUCUACAGGGGAAGAUGAAGGUGAUUUUUUUUGUGUGUGUGCGUGCGUGCGUGUGUGUGUGUGUUUUCUGAAAAGACUUUUUAAGCAUUACUAACAUAGUACAGAUUACAAAGGGAAAAAUGGAUGGAUGUGACCACAUUAAGAAUUUCUGCUUAGUAAAAGAUACCGCAGACCAAGGUAACCAAUUGGUGAUAGAAUUGCAGAUAAGGCUUAGAACCGACAAGGAGAUGAGAAUAUGGCGGGAUGACCACAAACCAAGAAGGAAAAGACAGGAAGCUCUUCAGGACAUUGGGCAAAGGAUGAAUUCGCCGGAGACUCCCAGGCUUAUGGAGAGAUGUGCAAACCCACUUAGUGCCCAGAGACACACGGGACAACACUAGAGGCUGCUUUUCACCCAUCAGGUUAGCAGCCACUGGAAGGCAGGAUGCUCCCAGUGUCGGAGGGCUGUGGGAGCAAGAGGUCUCAAGACUUCUGCAAACUGGACAUCCUGGAGGGCAGCCUGGCCUCUCUUUUUGAAAUUAUUCACACGCCCUGUAUUUCAGCAAACCCACUGCUGGGUAUGUGUCCCAGAGAAAUUAAUGGAAAAUAAUAUGCGGGAACAUGAACAAGGAUGCCCAUGGCAGUAUUAUUUGCGUUUGCAGAGAGUUGUCUAUCCCACACACCCUUCACUGGGAGAAUUGGGAAGAAAUAAAUAAUAAUGUAGCUAGAGUUUUUUAAAGCACUUAUUAGGUGCCAAGUUUUUCUCAACUAUUAGGAUAUAUUAAAACUUAUUAAAUCUUGUAACAUAGGCCCUUUUUGCUGUCUGAUUUUAUGUAUUAGGAACCUGAGGCACAGAGCGGUUAAGUAAGCUGCCCAAGGUCACACAGCUAGCAAGAGGCAGAACUGUGAUACAGUGGGGUGAGAGAGUGGAAUGCAGUAGCUAGCUACUCCCCUCCCUACCCCAUCUGAUGUUUUGCUUUCUGAGGUUUCAGUCACCUGAGGCCAACAGCUGAUUGGAAAUAUUACAUGGAAAAUUCCAGAAAUAAACAAUUCAUAAAUUUAAAAUUGCACACUGUCCUGAGUACUGUGAUGAAAUCUUGGUCCACCUUGCCCUGACCUGCUGGGAAUGUGAAUCAUCAGCAUGUCCAUGCUGCCUGAACUGCCCAUUAGUCAAUCGGUAGGUGUCUGGGUUUUCAGACUGACUUAUGAGGCACAGUUCUCCCAGGGCUUGUGUUCAAGUGACCCUUACUUAGUAGCCUGGCACUACACCACCAUCCUGUGUCACUCACCUCACUUCAUCUCAGCACAGGGACUUUGUGUCCAUGUCAUAGCAUCCCAGGAAGAGGAAGGGUGGCCACAGUGCAUCAGAUAUUGAGAGAGAGAGAGAGAGAAACAGAGAGAGACUAGGUUCACGUGACUUUUAUUACAGUAUAUUGUUAUGAUUGUUCUAUUUCAUUAUUAGUCAUUGUUAAUCUCUUGCUGUGCCUAAUUUAUCAAUUAAACUUUAUCAUUGGCCGCUACGUGUACGAAAAAAACAUAGCAGACACAGGGUGGAGACCAUCCAUGAUUCUUCAGGCACCCGCUGGGGGUCUUGGAAGGCAUCUCCCGCAGACAGAGGAGGGGGAAUGCUCUGCAGCAGUCAGAAACCACCAGCUAGAUUUAGUGACAAGAUCUUACAAAUGUAGCGUUGAAUGAAGGAGUGAGACGCACCGUGUGAUACCACUCUUACAUAAUAACAGCCCGAAAAACGAGGUAUCCUCCUGCGACAGGACACAAUUCCAAGGACAUGUGAGUGGGCUGUCACUCCUACAGAUAGGAGUGGGGAGGGAGGAUGAGGAAGAAGGGGAGGUCCUCCACACAGCUGUGACGGGGGGGCGGGGGCAGUGACCUGGAGAGCCCCAGGAACUCUAAACUGCAGCUGGUCAGCCACGAGGGAGCCACAGCCAUUAAAACCCAUUGGGACAGGCUGAGGAACCCAGGCGAGGUGGCUUACGGAUGGGAAAGCUGACACCCUCCACCGACCCCACUCACGAGGCACAAGCAAGACAGAGCGCGCAGGGAGACGUACAGUUUGUCAACUCCCCUUCACUUUGUAGUCUGUCCCUGGGCACAAAAUUAAAAGCAGGCCAACAUUCUCCUUCCUAUUCUAAAAAAGGUUUCUGGGCCAUCUUUCCUCGCUGCUAUUUCCUGGACAUGCUAAUUUUAACAUAACCCUAAGCGACGCCAAAUCAGGGAGCAAAAGCUAUUUAAACACACCAUAAAAUGGCACGGCUUCCAGAAGCUCCGCGGCUUCCUUGGUGUCCUUCCCCUCUGGCCGUGGGCACUGGCUGAUCAGCAAAAGUUACAGAAGGAAUCUUGGAGAAAGGGUCCCUGUGCCUGUCCCUAGACAGUGUGCCAGGAAGCCGAGGGGUUUGAGGGGAUGAUGAACAUGGAUGGAUGAAUCGCCCACCUUUUAAUUAAUUUAUUCAUUUUUCUGUGAUUUCAGCUGAGACUCCCACUGUGCAUGUGAAGCCAUGGCCUGACUGCGGGGCCCUCGGGAGGAGGUGUCCCCAAUCCAGUGCAAGACUGCUGAGGAUUGGUGGACUACCUCACUCCAUGGCCAAGCAAAGGCGUCCGCGGUGGAGACCCUGCUUGGUUUUGCUCUCCACACUGGACAAGAAGAGUGUCGGGUUGGGGACUGGAAGUUGCUAGAGUGGGCUCUGCCUGUAGCCCCCUAUUUGAGGCUUUUGUGUAUUAAACAGGAACCAUCAGGCCAGUCCUGCCUGGCCAGGGUGAUUUGUGAAGUUCAACCUGCAGAGUGCUUCCCACACUGUAAAGUGCCUUUGGCUAUCGAGAAUGAUCAGGCCUGGGUGUGGAACCAAACGCUCUCCGAACCUCCCAGGUGUGGGUCCUUGUAGGAUGGGGAAUUAUGUUUGGUAUAUUUCAGCUGUAGGACGUCAAAGGACUGGUCCCAGAUGACCCCCUGUCAGCAAGAAAACCCAGUCCUGAUACCCCUUUUAUUGCUUCUUAGGAGAAGUAAUUUGGGGGCAUAGGGGAGACGCUUUGAGAUCAGAAAGGUGAGCCCAUGGCUGUGCUGUCACUGGUCUAAGUCAAGGCCUCCAUCUCCUCCUGUGACUUUGAGUGAAGGUCACAGGGCUCCUCACCUAAAAAACGCCACAUGCCUGCCACCCUCCCCUCAGUUAUUCUGCAAGGAUUGUUAGGAUCCAAUUAUGUCCUGAGUUCAUCUCAAAGUCCUAGAGAAACACCUGGCUUUCUUGUCGCACAUCUUUAUCCAAUUUGUCUUUGACGCUCACUAGCUUUUAAAACACCUUCCCACAGUUUCCACAGAACACUUUCAAGUCCAUGCCUUUGAAAGGCAAAAGCCUUCUGUCUCUUCAAGGCUGGAACCUCAAGUAAGCCAGGGGCUGAGCCUCUGUGAUCCAAUUCUGGUUCCAUCCACCAGAACCUCGGUAGCCACUCCUCUCUCUCGCUCUCUUUUUUUAUGAGCUGCUAUUGUCAGAGUGUAGGAGACCUCUAUUAAUAGACUAAAGAUUUCAUGCUGCCACUGAUUUUUCCAACAGGAACCAGUAAUGAAGCCAACUGGGCUCAGUUGUCCCCUUUUGCAGGGAGAUGUUUUGAGGGUGUGUGUGGCCAUAAUUGGGUUUGGGGGCUGCUAAUACGAUUGGGUUGCCUGGAAAUGCAAAAGCCCCGAGUCCACUCAAUGUCAAGGUGAAGUUAUUUCCAGGUGAUCGAUUGCAGCUUUCCCGACAGUGCCAAGGCCUGGGUCGAGGGGGAGAGAUAGACGGAUUGAACAGGGGAGCCUCUCUCUUUCCAUGGGCCCUCUUGGCUUGGUGGCAGAGGGACCCUUUAUCUUUGGAAGCGCUGGUCCUACCUCCCUGCUUCCGGGCAGCUUGCCCAACUAGUGGAGAGUUCCCAGUGAACUGGGAGGGCUCUGCUGCUUCACUUUGACUCAUUUUGGCAAAAAAUUGCUCACCUCUUACUGGGUUAUAUAGAGGACAUGAAACAAGGGUCUUCUUUUUUUCUUUUCAAUUAGGAAGUUGAGAUAUGCUUGUUCUGACAAUUCCAAUGAUAAGUGGGAAGGUCACUCUCCCCCCCUUUCAACCUCCCCAGAGGUAUCUGAGGUUGAGUCCAUAUUAUGGGGCUGCUCUAUAAGUUCUGUGCUUCUACAAACAAAUUCACAGAUGUUGGACUUUUACAGGAAGAAAAUUGGAAUGAUAGGACAUAUAUUCUGCCCCCCCAUAAACCAUAUAAGAAACAUCUCUAGGUUCAUACAUAUAAAUGUAACUUAUUUCUUUGUAUACCUGCCUAACCGUUCAUGAGCAUAAUAUACAUAAUGCAUUGAAUCACUCCUCUUCUGGUCUAUGUUCAGCUUUUUUUCUAUGGUUUUUCUUUUUUCUGCUUUUUUUCCUCUCAGCUACUCUUUCUGGGAGUGUGGUGGGGUUAAGAGGGGGCUUUGGGAGUAGACAGAACUGGGUUUGAAUUCCACUUCUGCCAUUUAGUGAGUGACCCUCGGGACCUUCUUUAAACCCUUCUAGCUUUAAUGCUUUCUUUCAACUGCAAAAUGGCGGCAGCCACAGCUCACAGUGACAGGGUGAGGAUUGGUGGAGAUGAUGUGCGCUGGGUCUCUAUAAGACAGAAUUAUAGUUAACCUAAUGGUGACUUGGAGUUUGGAAGUCCUCCUCCAUCUUGCCAGAAUUCUCACUGUUGUACAUUAAGGAUAGUUCUCUACAGGGCCUGGGGCUCUAGGAAGAAGUCACUGGAGAAAUGUUCAUCCAGCUUCACCUGAGUCUACAUCCUCUGCAGAAACAGGGACAGCCUCCUCAGAGGGGGUGGAUCCUGGAGGUGUCCUGAGGCCACCUUAGGAAGGAGGUGGGUCUCCUCUCUCUGCUUAUUAAGUGAACAGCCCACCUUUGAAGGGCUCUAUUUGUCCUAUGUGGGGGAGGGUUGUGUUCAGAGAAGUGGAGGAGGCCACUUGGUGGAGGGGUCUCAUGCAAGGUCCUUAUACACGGACCCUCUCCAGUUUAGUCAUGUUCAGGAACCUUGUGUUCUUGCCGUGCACCUGGUAGGCUUCAGCUAGUACCACCACCCGAGUGCCCAGAGCCACUGGCUCUUGUCCGUGAGGGCUGUUUGCCUGGAUUCUCUGGGAUUAUCACUCAAGCCCUCGAGUGCCAUGAAGCUCACCUUGCUCCCCAGCCCUCCUAGGCAGAGCUGCUUCUUACCACACCCACUUUCACCAGCUGGCAUCUCCCAUCCACCCAGAUACUGUCAUGGAGAUUUGACAGAGUGGCUUCACUAGGGUCCAGGGGCAAGGUGGGCAAUCCCACUGAAGUCUUUCCUCUCUCCCAGGAGUCUCCAGGUCCACUGGGUGAAGGCACUUUUGGUGGCCUCCUUUGUCGUCCCAGCUGACCCUGGGUGUAUGUGCACAUUAGGCCCCUUCAUCAUUUUGCACAGGCUGAGCUACGUGCUCAGAGUUUUCCAGAUCAAUGGUCCAAACAGUGGUCCCCAGACUGGCUUCAGACACUGGUUCAUGGUGAAAUGAGAAGAAUAAGAACAGAGUGAUGAGUUUUCAGAAAGCUAAGCAUAUUCCACUUAUGAGGCUGCCCUCGUACACUUUGAGAUUUAGAGAUGACUUUUGGGGCAUUGGAAUGUCCUUUUAAAAAUUAUGGUGGAAAAAAUGGUGGUGGUUCCUUUACAAAUGGACAUAUUUUUAAAUUUUCAACGAUAUUUUAAAGUUAAUUUCUGUGAUUUUUCUGCUUACGAAUCUAUCCAUAUUUUCAAUGAAUGUUAAUGUCUUUUAUGUUGAUUUACAAGAUACAUUAUUCCCGUGCCUCCUCCCUUCCCUUCAUUCCCCUUUGUCUAAUCCAACAAAGUUCUAUGCUCCCUCACCCUUAUUAUGUGUUAGCAUCUGCACAUCAGAGAGAACAUUUGGACUUUGGUCAUUUGGGAUGUUAACACAUAGUAAAGAGGGAGAGGUGGAUAGAAGUUCAUUGGAGUAGACAAAGGGGAGGGAGAUGGGAAGGGAGGGAGAUGGGAAUAGAAAGACAGUGGAAUGAAUUCCUAUGUUCAUAUGUGAAUACAUGAGCAGUGUAACUCCACAUCAUGUACAGCCACAGGAAUGAGAUUCCUAAUUAGAAUACAUUAUAUUCCAUGUAUGUAUAAUAUGUCAAAAUAUACUCUAUUGUCAUGUAUACCUAAAAAUAACAAAUAAAAAAAUUAAAAAACAAGAUACAUUAUAUUAAAAGCAUUACCCCUUAAGAAAAACAUUUGCAAAAAUGUCACAAGCAUCACUAAUUUUACAUCUCGUGUAUGCUAUUUGAUGUAUAGUUUCUAUUUUAUGCAUAUACAGUCAAUUCUUUUCACCACUUUAAUAAUAAAAGCCAUGAAAAUAAAUCUAACUCCAUUCUACAUUUUAUCUCCAAUUCAGACAAUUUGUUUUCACUUAAUGUUUAAUAAGACUUAAAUUUAUUGGCUCCCCCUACCUAUACCCCGGACUGUGACAAAUUUAAAAAGAGGCAACCCUACGUAGGUGGAGUUUCAACUUUUUAGAACUUAAAUUUUCUUUAAAAGACAAGUGACUGGAGACUACCGUUCUGGGUGGCUUCUCUCAGCUGGUUUCAAUGCCUAGGUUCAUUGUUCCUGUCACACUUUAUAGAAACUCCAGAAAGGUCACUGGCACACCUGGGUAUAUUGUCUUUUAUUCCGUGAUCCAUUAAAAACAAACCAAACUAAUACGUCUCCUAGUAACUUCCUUAUUUCUUGAAUCCCUUUGGCUUCACUUUCUCAGCAUACAAACCAGGGUCUUUCCUGAUCCAUUCAUUAGCAUCAAAUCCCCUUGUUCCUUUGAGGUCACAAUGUUCACUCUCAAUAGCUGCUAUUAUAACUCGUGCUUUUCAAUAGUCGCUAAUUCAACAUUAAAACUUCCAAUUACAGCAACGGUUGUCCCCAUUGACUCAGAGUGAUUUGCAUGAAAAGCAGAUGGGGGUGACUUUAGGAGACCCAACCUUAACUUGAUAGUAACCCCAAACCGGUGCCGUCUAUAAUGCCUUUGCUGCCACAGGUAAAUUUGCUGUCAUCUACCCCAUGACUCCCCUGGGUCACAGCACUGCUUUCAUUUUGGAGCAUUUGUUGUUUCCCAUGGGGAUCAUGGGUCUCAAAUAGGGCUGGACAUGCAGAGAGGUCUUGUGGAGCAGCCCCCUUGGGCACCUGGAAAUGCGGAGCGAGCCCUGGGCCUCUGGAGCACUGAGCUCUCAUCCUGGCCAUGAUGUCUAAGCAUGUGACCUGGAGCAAGUCUUGCCUCAUCUUCGGCAUCUGGAAGACAAAUUGGUCAUUCUCCACAUGGAGGUACCCCAUAAACCACCGAGGUGCAAAAUGCUGUUAUUUGGUAGUUAUUUUAUCCUCCAAAGAAUCUGGACAGUGACUGGUGUGAAGCCAGGCCCCCACGUGGCAUGCAUGUUACUGAGGGAAGGGAGGUUCAUCAUCACAGGUGUCCUGACCAGCUCGUUAGCCUGACCAGUUCGUGAGCCUGGCCAGCUGGUUAGCCUUCGGCACAAAGCUACAUUUUGCAGUUUACGUGUGCUCCAUUACAACAUAUCGUGGUCUGGAUCCAGUUACCCUUCGUAAAAUGGAUGAGUAACUUAAAGAUUCCUGUAAGGAAACAGGUGGGCUGAAGAUCACAGUGAUUAUGCAAGGUCAAGGAAACAGCAACAAAAUGGCAGAAUCAACCCUGGUGCUGGGCCUGGAAUAGUCUCCCCGUCAGUAUUCAUUAUGCACUAAAAACAAUGAAGAUAUAAUUGGAUCAGACAAGAAGUUGACUUAAAAUAUCCCAGUUCUCCAAGCUUUAAAAAUAUGGACUUCCUUCCUCUUGUUACCAGCACACUCUGCGUGGUGUGCCCACUGUCUUUAUGAGGUCUCUUCCAGCUCUGACAGUCACUAAGUCACUAAAAGAAAGAAUGAAAAUCAAGGGAACUUUUGAAUUGAUGUAUCAGAAGUUUGAUAGUUGAGGUAUUUGGAUUGAUGUAUCUCAAAGUGUAAUUUCAAGUUUUUUCUUUUUUAAAGGAUGUAAAUUCUACCACAUUGGUCUCACCAAUGACAUAAAUAUGGGCACUGUUAGGUCAGAGUUUUUUUUCCAUUAAAGGAGGAAACUUGAGCAGGGCUUUAUAUUUUACUAGAACUAGUUAGUGUUGAGCUGUUAAAAUGCUGUAUUCAUCUCUCUGCAUGGAAAAAUUUUCACUCUUAGGAUAAUUCUGCCUAACGUCCAGAACACUGCUAACAAGAAAUGCCAUGGCCCACUUACACCCAUAGAGGCCAGCAGGCCUGGGUCGCACCACCAUGCCUUCCUUCCAUAAAACUCUGCAGCUUCUCCAACAGAAGGAUCCACAGUAGGGUAGGUAGGGCUGCUCCCCAGGGCUCCAGGCUGCCACCCAACACCUUGUGGCCACCAGAGCCUGCUGGGUCACAGAGACCAUGCAGAUUGCCCCACAUGGUUCAUCCCAGGACCACCAGAAAGCUAGAGCAGAACAUGCCCAGAGAGAGUGGGGAGGAC
rnacentral:lncRNA from 1 species